rnacentral:rRNA from 1 species
UGGGGAAUUGUUCACAAUGGGCGCAAGCCUGAUGACGCAACGCCGCGUGGGGGAUGAAGGUCUUCGGAUCGUAAACCCCUGUCGAAUGGGACGAAAGACCCGGGAGCUAAUCAUCCCGGGGGUGACGGUACCGUUAAAGGAAGCCACGGCUAACUCUGUGCCAGCAGCCGCGGUAAUACAGAGGUGGCAAGCGUUGUUCGGAAUUACUGGGCGUAAAGGGCGCGUAGGCGGCCAUCUAAGUCAGACGUGAAAUCCCCCGGCUUAACCUGGGAACUGCGUCUGAUACUGGACGGCUUGAGUAUGGGAGAGGGAUGUAGAAUUCCAGGUGUAGCGGUGAAAUGCGUAGAUAUCUGGAGGAACACCGGUGGCGAAGGCGGAUCUCUGGGCCAUUACUGACGCUGAGGAGCGAAAGCGUGGGGAGCGAA